AAGAAGACCUUGAAGUCUGUGGAACAGCUGUCCUUCACCAGCCUCCGAGACUCUUACCUGGAGGUGGCAGCCAUGAAAAGCAAGUCAGAUCUGAACAAGCGUCAGCCUCAGGCUUGUUGAGGGCACAGUUGGGUCAGCACAUGGCCACCUUGAAAGAACGUGAUAAUUCUAUCACAGAAGAGGUAGCUAAGAAGUCUGAAGUUUUCCUAGUCACAAACGUGGACCAGAGGACAGGGUUGGCUGUGAUAAAAUCUGUGCCCACCUCCCUGCCCAGGACACAUGAGGCGAUAUGGGCAGCAGCGUUAUUGAAAAAAGCCCCUACAGAAGAGUGUGACGAUAGUUCGGCCGUUCACAGUAAUGAAUCAUCUUGCAGCUUGCCAUCUAUUCUGAAUGACAGUAGUGGAAUAAAGGAAGCGAAACCCACUCUAUGGCUCAACAGUGUUCUUACAAGGG